UGCGGAAGUAUUUCCAGACGCGAGUUCGCUUCUUGUUCCUUGCUCUUUCGCCCCUUUUUUUUUUGUUCCUGGUAAUUUGCCAAUUACUAAACAUAUGAAGGUGGUGCAGAGGUGUACUAGGAGGUUUAAUGGCAUCCCAGAGGCUGUAUCCGAACACACAACUAUCCCACCCCCGCAGGAGCCGAUCUAAAGGGAAUCGCCCUCGUAACCACCCACAUAACAUUUUGUAAUUUUUCAGGAUUAGGUAAAUAAAGAGCCAGGAAGAUCCUCUUCGUUACACUUUUCCCUAAACUCAAUUGAAUUGUGUUCCUCUUGGAUUUCAUCUGAAAAGGAUAUUACGCAGAGAUCCUGUGCAAUGAUCCUCGACCUGAAUUCGAGACAUGGCCUAAUUGUUACACAUUCCCCUUGGGCAACAAUGGGUAAUUGAUAUGAAAUGUGCACCCAGCAAAAAAAAAAAAAAGAAGGAAAGAAGAAACCGUGGGAAACCUGCCCGAAUGUCUGGGUUCGGCUCGGAGUUAAGGAAGAGAGUGCCGAGAGAACAAUGGCCCGAAACGGAAAACUGAUCGAAUCGAAGAACCCCAGGCUCAAGACCAGAACCAUCCAACGCUCAAAUAUCGAUCUCUGGCGACGUUUGCUUUGCUGGUCAGGAUUAUGGCAACCCAGAAUCGUUUCAAUUUAGCGCCCAAACGAAGCGCAGCCGAGCAGAACGACCAAGUCGAUGGAGGGGCUUUACGGUAUCAGAAUGUUCGACUUCAGGUUACCCUAUAGCGGUUAUGAAAUCUUAAAAAAUAGCUAAAUAUAAAUCAAAAACUAUUUUCCUUGGGUUAGAGAAACCACUUUUUUAAAGCAAGCUUUCAUUAAAACAUCUAUAAGUCCUUCAUAAUAAUCGUUAGGAUCUACUACAAUAUGGUUCUUUUUAUAAAAGAAAGAAUAAGUUGUUCCAUUUUUUCCUAGAAUGGGGUUGUAUUCGAACCUGUGUCUCAUAGUUAUCUACAAAACUGAAUAUAC